UACGUAGGGUGCAAGCGUUGUCCGGAAUUAUUGGGCGUAAAGAGCUCGUAGGCGGUUUGUCGCGUCUGCUGUGAAAUCUGGGGGCUCAACCCCCAGCCUGCAGUGGGUACGGGCAGACUAGAGUGCGGUAGGGGAGAUUGGAAUUCCUGGUGUAGCGGUGAAAUGCGCAGAUAUCAGGAAGAACACCCGUGGCGAAGGCGGCUCUCUGGGACGGUACUGACGCUGAGACGCGAAAGCGUGGGGAGCGAACAGG
rnacentral:rRNA from 1 species